rnacentral:rRNA from 1 species
UACAGAGGGUGCGAGCGUUAAUCGGAAUUACUGGGCGUAAAGCGUGCGUAGACGGUUAUCUAAGUCGGAUGUGAAAGCCCCGGGCUCAACCUGGGAAUUGCAUUCGAGACUGAAUAGCUAGGGUACGGUAGAGGGAAGUGGAAUUUCCGGUGUAGCGGUGAAAUGCGUAGAUAUCGGAAGGAACAUCAGUGGCGAAAGCGGCUUCCUGGACCAGAACUGACGAUCAGGCUCGAAAGCGUGGGGAGCAAACAGG